rnacentral:misc_RNA from 1 species
CGCACAUUGCGCCCUUUGGUAUUCCUUAGGGCAUGCCUGUUCGAGCGUCAUUUAAAAUUUCAAGCUCAGCUUGGUGUUGGGUGUUUGUCCCGCCCUGGUGCGCGGACUCGCCUCAAAAGCAUUGGCAGCCGGUACGUUGGCUUUGAGCGCAGCAGAUUUGCGACUCGGUGCCUGGCGGACUGGUUCUCCAGAAGCCCCCUUUAAAGUUUGACCUCGGAUCAGGUAGGGAUACCCGCUGAACUUAA